AUUACGGAAUGGGGAGAUCACACCGAGAAGCAUCUGCGAGUGACUGCACAGCUCGCGGGAAGGCAGCUUCAGUCAGCCUCGGCUUGUGCUUCGCAGACAAGGGAAACUGAGGCAGGACAGCACCCUGGACAGUGCAGAGCAUUUUCCCUGCAGGGAGAAAAGAGAGGAGUUUGGACAGAACAACAAAGGAGACGUGCAGGGGAGCAGCCUCUUACUGGUGAUGACACCACAGAGACAAUAAACAACCUGGAUGUGUCCUCGGACACCCUGCUCAGCCUCCUUCCCAGCAGGACAAGGACAAGGAGAGACGCCCUCACUGCAGAACCUGUUGACCACGAAAGCGAUGGCCACCAGGACCA